rnacentral:rRNA from 1 species
GACGAACCGUGCGAACGUUAUUCGGAAUCACUGGGCUUAAAGCGCGUGUAGGCGGGCCGGCACGUCCGGUGCUGAAAGCCCCCGGCUCAACCGGGGAAGGGGCGGCGAUACGACCGGCCUGGAGGGGGGUAGGGGGCGCCGGAACUGCCGGUGGAGCGGUGAAAUGCGUAGAUAUCGUUUGGAACGCCAAUGGUGAAAACAGCUCGCUGGGGAUGUGCCGACGCUGAGACACGAAAGCCAGGGGAGCGAACGGG